AUGAAAUAGAAUAGCUCCAAUUGGAAGAGACAUAAAAAGACCAUUGAGUCCAUCUGUUUGGUCUAUGCGAUUUCUGUAAGUUAGUGGAUACCAUAGAAACUUCGAACUGUUUUAUAUGCAAAACAGCAAGCUGCAGGUGAUGUUGGCUGCUUAAUGACAUUUAGCUCUAUGCGUUGCUCUCACUUUGACCUAAUGGUUCCUAGCAUGCAUCAAAUCUGAGAAGAAGUCAAGUGAACACCCAUGUUGGAGCUGGUGUCUUCACAGAAUUAACCUUUUAUCCUUAGAUCUCAAUCCUGACCAGUAAUAGCUCAGAAGCCAUUCAGUCACUGAAUAGCCAGAAUGAUAAUUGCAAUUUUUUUCACAGGAUCAGAAGUUGAACUAGAAAAACAGACAAAGGCUGAUGCAAGGGGAAGAUUUGCAGAGCUUCUUUUGAGUACCUUCCCAAAGCAAAUCAUAGUUUAUUCCUUUUCACACAAGUUUCUUGUAGUUUGUUCUGUGGCAUGUUCCUCAGGAAGAAAAAAAGUACCUCUUUGAUUUGAUACAACUUCCCCACCUAUGAAUAAUAUAUAAGCAAAAUUGUAUUUUCUCCUUCAGAAGCGUCUUCUGAUAAUGAAAAAGUCAGUUUUCAUUUGUGAAAUUAAAUACUUCCAAUAUAAGAAUGAGUUACAUUAGACCUAAGGGAGCACAUAAGGCACGUGUCUUCUCUUCAUCUCCCAGAAACCCUAAUUAAAGUUCCUUGUGCUUCUGUUGUGGUUUUUGGUCUUCUGUCUUCACGGGACUUCCCAGCAGAAACUCACUUCCUUAGGUUAUGCGGAGCCAAAGAAGAAACUUCCUGAGAAGGCCUGCUGACAUGACCAAUUGGACCAAUAUCUUGGGUCUAGUUGUUAAGUGGAGGGUUUAGACGUGGGUUUUCCACAGAAGAGCUCAUCUGUCCACUCAUGCAGCCUCCACAAUAAACUUCUCUUCUUAGGCCCUCAAAGAGGAUUCAAGUUUUGAAAUCUAAAUAAUGAGUUUUCCUGAUCAAGACAUACUGGGUCAGGCUUUUGAAGAUGCACUAGAAGUACUGCAGCAGCACUCCGACAGAGAAAUGCAGUACUCACAAGGUAAAGGGGGGACAUUGCUUUAUUUUUACUUACAGCUUUAUAUUCUUACAGAAAAGCGUAUCUUAAAAUAUAUGUUUGGGAUGGUAACUUCCUAGAGGUGGAUUAAUGGACAGCUGAAGAGUACGAUGCCUGUGGCAUUGAGUUUGGAACUAGAUGAUCGUUGAGGUCCCUUGCAACCCAAGCCGUUCUAUGAUGAAAAUGGAGAAGAAGGGUUGGAAGGUUUUUGUACCUGACACUGCCCGGAGUGGUUUGCAUCUUCCAAGCCACAUCACAGGGAAGCUACUGGACAGCCCCUUUGCCUUCCAUCCAGUAUUAUUAGAGGUAUAUUGAGCUCGAAACAAAACAUGUAAGACCAAAGUGCAACUCGCAUUUUCCAGUUUUAAUGUUUCAAUUGAAAAAUGCCCUUAUGUUAUGCUGUAAAUAAACUCAUAUAGGAAUGAAUUCCAGUGCAAAGACUAAAAGAAGACAAAGAAUUCAGCAUAUGAAUUUUGUUUCCAUAAUUGCUUUUUUACAUUAAGGUACAAAUUUUAAAUAUUUUUAGGCACAGUCUAGGUUAUUAGCAGAAAAGCAAUUUUCCUGGCUUCUAGAUUAAGAUUUAUGCAUUACAAAACUUAAAAUAUAGGUAAGCUGCAUAUUCCUUCAGUUCAGGGAAGAUAUUUGCAAUUAAAAUGCUAUAAAAUUUAAAAUAUAUCUGUAUAUGGUUUUUCUGUCAUGAAUAGAAAUGGAAGGAAAGGAAAGUAAGAAGCUACAUUGCAAAUCCUUUACAUCCAGAAGAACAUAUUUACUGUCCUUUGUGAGGAAUGUAUUUCAUGCCAGAAAGUUGAUUUGCACGUUUAUCUGUGAUAAUAUUGAAAUGUAAAUAAGACAGAUUGGCUCAUAUCUUCAGCUGUUGUUAAUAAGUUUUUGCCUCCACUUCAGUGGUAAUUUGCACACUGAAGUAUUGUCAACGGUUUACGGGCUGGUUCGGCCCGGUUCCGUGACUAGAAGGGCGGAGGGAU